AAUAAGUGCAGUUUUGCACUAUUCACGUUCAACGUUUGAUCGUUCGUCUUAUUUAAAAAAUUUUUAUGAUUAGUAUUUUUAUUGCUAUUAGAUAAUAAAACAUGAAUAGUACUUUAUGUGUGACUAAAUUUUUUUAUUUUUUUAUAAAUUUUUCAAAUAAGACGAACGGUCAAAUGUUGAACACGGAUAUCCACAGCUGCACUUAUU
rfam:Oryza sativa Japonica Group DNA, chromosome 5, cultivar: Nipponbare, complete sequence.